ACUCUGGACAGAGGGCUGUGUUGUCGGGCAUUGGAUGGAGCGCCCUUCUGGAAGCCGGUGGCCGGGUCUGAUGCAAGCGUGCCAGGAAGUCCUGGGCCUGAAGAAAUGAAUAUAUCCCAGUUCCUGCCCUCAAGGACUCCUUGGUGAAGGAGACAGACACACAGACCUGCCAUGAGAACCCAGGGUUGGGAGUCUCUGUGAGCAGCGUGACACCAUCAUCAUCAUCUUCAUCAUCCACAUCAACUCCUAUUUAUCAGACACCAAUGAGGACUUUCCGUUCAUUAUCUCUCAACAGUCCUGCCGGGUAGAGACUCCUAUUAUCCCCAUUUUAAAAUAAAAACACGGAGCCUUGGGGAGGUGCUAGGACCUGGUGAGAUGAUUUCUCUCCUUCUCAUUGUUCUCUUCUUGGUCUGAGGAUCUUUUAUCUUUGACCUUGUAUCUCUGUGCAGUUAGUCGUGGGGAAACCAUUGUUUGAUUUGGGGCUGAUCUCAGUGAGCCUAUGGCUUGGGUUUCCUGGGCUCCAGACUAUGCUCCCUGGAGACCAAAGGAGAGAGAGUGGGAAGCAGGGUCCAGGAGAGCUCCUAGGGCUUGGAGUAGCCUCAGUGAGGUACUUCUGCAUUUGUCAGCACCACCUGAUGCGUUCUCCCCAGUUCCCCCUGUUUGACAGACAUUCUUCAGUGCCUAGUGUUCGCCAGGCUCUGUGCCAAGAGGAGGAGAUGCUGAAACAAAUGUCAUUGUUAUGCCCUCAAGAGCCUACCAGUCUGAUGGCUGAGGGAGCCCUGAAGACAAGCUUCUGGAGGCCAUUUAUCUAAAGGCUGUAGUUAAUGACACUUGGAAGUGAGAAGCCAUUAAGGCAUCAUCUUGGUGUCAACUCCAGUCAAUUGCUCAUGGCCUCCUCGAAGCUCAAGGGCUUGGAAAGAAAGGAUGCUAUGAUUGAUUAGCAAUGUCUGCCGUGUGCACGGCUAGGAGAGUUCUGCUCUGUGUGCCAAUUACCUGCUACCCCUGGUUGAGCAAUGCUACUCUUUGUAGGUGUGACAGCCUGCCCAGUCAGAAAGGUUGAAGGAAGCCAUAAACAGGAUUUUUGCAAUCCUGAUCUGAGCACGGUCUACAUGCCUUGGAGGAAGGUAGGAUUUCUGCUCCUGGGAGAGUCUAGAAGGCUCCCAGAAGUACUGACAAGUGAGCUGAGCUUGAAGGAUAAGAUUUCAGUAUCUUAUAAGUGAUUCCCAUUGACAUAUCCUGAACACUUAGUGUAUUCCGUAUAUUUUUCAGAUGGAGAAGAUGUCAGGGAGGAUCUUUCAGGCAGCAAGGUACAAGGGACAUCUUGAAUGCAGUGUAGCGAGGGUGACAAGAGAAAGGAGUAUGAGGAGAACAGAGCUGGGGGCAGGGGAAGCAGCUCACAAGGGUUCUGGAGUAGAGUUUGGCUUUCAUCCCACAGGCCCUAGGAGCAAGGGGGCACCUUGCAUUUGAGCACCAUUUCUCUGCAUGGAGCCACCAGCGAGGGGGCGGCUGCGGGGCUGAGAUAUCUUCUCCCUGGGUGUUCUCAGCCGGGAGAACAGCGCUCCUGCAGCCAUGAGGACACUGCUAUUUUAAGCCACCUGCCAACAGCCCGCCUGCCUCCCCCACUGCUGUCUUGACACGCGGCUCCUGGCAGCGAACCCAGUGUCACCCCAGCAGACAGCGCUGGGCGGCUGGAUGCAGAUGCACACCUGGGCAGGUGACAGCUGUGGGGACCCCAAGCAGCUUCCCACCCCUAGCGCCCAGCAUCCUUGACCCACUAGCCUGGGGGUGGGGCUGAGGGGAACCCACAUCCUGCCCCGCUCAGACAAGGCAGGCAGACCUGGGGG